rnacentral:lncRNA from 1 species
UGUCUCAGUGUUUGUUUCCCAGGCAACCUGAUGUAAGAAGUGAUGAAAGUCAAACAAACAACCGUAAAUCUGUACAAUGAAACGUAUGACAGGAAAGCAACAGUGCCACUGAGCGCAGUAAGAGCAUUCAACCCAGACCUGAUGGGUUGUGAAGAUGCAAAGAGAAGGGUCAGGGCAUUACCUCCUCAGGAGUAGAUACUCACCUAUGGGCCACACCAGGCAACAAUUUAAUCUUCACCCUCAGUCAUUGCUUCUGACUUGUGGAGUGCAAACAUCUAUUUCACACCCCUGGAGGAGUUGGAAGCAGUCCAGGAAGAGGGGACAAAAGCAGAACAGAUAACCCUCCUUUCACCAUUCCGAGUGGGAGGGUGGAGAAGACCAAGCGGAAUUGGGGGUAUUAAGGAUGGCAACGCUGUUUUUAAGGACACGGAUUACUAACUGCCUUUGAAUAUAGUUCAGAAACUCUGAAGAUUCUGGUCUACUAAGAGAUACUGUUCUCAGACACAAAAACUGGUCUUUUUCACAGCCUUCAUGGACUUUUUGCAGAAAAUUUGGGGCAAGGCAGAAGACCUGUAAAUGCCACCCAGGUGGAACAGACUUCAAGAGCUGGCCUAGGUUUGCG